rnacentral:rRNA from 1 species
UACGUAGGGCGCAAGCGUUGUCCGGAAUUAUUGGGCGUAAAGAGCUCGUAGGCGGCUUGUCGCGUCGACUGUGAAAACCCGCGGCUCAACUGCGGGCCUGCAGUCGAUACGGGCAGGCUAGAGUUCGGUAGGGGAGACUGGAAUUCCUGGUGUAGCGGUGAAAUGCGCAGAUAUCAGGAGGAACACCGAUGGCGAAGGCAGGUCUCUGGGCAUUAACUGACGCUGAGGAGCGAAAGCAUGGGGAGCGAACAGG